CCUCCCCGCGGCCCUUAAGGAGGAGGGGGGGGCUGACCUGGUUGCUGUGAGACCGAAAGCAGAUCACGUCGGUGUCGAGGCGGACCUUUCUUUCUCUCGGUUCUUGGAGCCAGCCUGCCGUGCCACGCGUCAGCCUUUGGCCCCCCAACUACAGCGCCCGCUGGGCUCCCCUCAGCAGCAGCGGCGGCGGCGGCAGCUCCUCUUCCGCUUCCUCCCCCCCAUAUUCCCUGCGCAGCCCGCGGAAGGGGGGGGGACGCUCCCUGCAGCUCCGCCUGCUGGUUCACUGAGGAAGGUGACGGGGCCUCCCUGAAGAGGCCAGAGGGUUUGAGGAGGGACGGCGGGAUCCUGCCAUCCGGCUGCCCUGCUCCGCUUCUCUCCUCGGAGAACAGCCUCACGAGAACCAACUGGCCUGGAGGGCGCUGCAGGUCCGGUCCUUGCCCUGGCGGGAAGCGGAGGAACCGAAGUUCGGCUUUCUGCCGGCGAAUUCUCGCUAAAAACUUCCCAUCUUCCUCACAGAAUGAAUCUGCAAAGUGUACAUUGAAGUUAUAGUCUCAGCCUAUAAGAAACAAACCCCAACAUUAAUUUUUCACAGCCUCAAAAUGCAUCAGAUGUAGCAUGGAGGAUACCGUACUUUCAUCUUGCAUGAACAGUGAAUAAAAAUAUUAAAAAGUGCACAUAAUUCUACAGUAAAUACUUUCCUUCCAAGCUUUAUUUAUCCUUACAGUCUACUUCUUGGCUAUUAAAAAUUCAUGUUAUAUCA